AAAUUUGUAGUAUUUUUUCUUUCUCUUUUUUUUUUUUUUUUACGUUCGGUGAUUUUCAUCAAAGAUGUGAAGGUUUUUUUUGUAGGAAAUAUUUAUUUCCAAUUUUUUCGUAGGAAAUUAUCAUGUUUUCUUGUAGUGAAAUAACAUAUAGGCUAAUGACGUGAUUAACGACAUCCUUACUAUAGUAAAAGAGAAGUAUACAGGGAUUCGGGUUGGAUUUUUUAAAGAAUUCCGGGUUAAAUGUUUAAUCGGGUUUACAAACAUAUCAAACAACUAAA
rnacentral:lncRNA from 1 species